CGCACGGGUGAGUAACACGUAUCCAACCUGCCGAUGACUCGGGGAUAGCCUUUCGAAAGAAAGAUUAAUACCCGAUGGCAUAGUUCUUCCGCAUGGUAGAACUAUUAAAGGAUUUCGGUCAUCGAUGGGGAUGCGUUCCAUUAGGUUGUUGGCGGGGUAACGGCCCACCAAGCCUUCGAUGGAUAGGGGUUCUGAGAGGAAGGUCCCCCACAUUGGAACUGAGACACGGUCCAAACUCCUACGGGAGGCAGCAUG
rnacentral:rRNA from 1 species